CCUGCGGGAGGGGCGGGCACGCGCUCAAGGGCGCCCAGGUGUGCCCAGGUGUGCCCCAGGUGUGCCAGGUGUGCCCCAGGAGGGUCCCAGAUGUGCCAUGGGGGGCCCAGGUGUGUCCAGGGGGUUCCCAGGUGUGCCCAGGGGGUUCCCAGGUGUGCCCAGGGGGGUCCCAGAUGUGCCCAGGGUGGCCCAGGUGUGCGGGGAGGUGCCCAGGUGUGUUCAGGGGGGUCCCAGGUGCCCAGGUGGGUCCAGGUGGGUCCCAGGUGCCCAGGGGGGUCCCAGGUGGGUCCCAGGUGCCCAGGGAGGUGCCCAGGUGAGUCCCAGGUGGGUCCCAGGCGCCCAGGGAGGUGCCCAGGUGGGUCCCAGGGGGGUCCCAGGUGGGUCCCAGGUGCCCAGGGGGGUCCCAGGUGGGUCCCAGGUGCCCAGGAAGGUGCCCAGGUGGGUCCCAGGUGCCCAGGGAGGUGCCCAGGUGGGUCCCAGGUGGGUCCCAGGUGCCCAGGGGAGUCCCAGGUGUGUGAGGGGGUCCCAGGUGGGUCCCAGGCACCCAGGGAGGUGCCCAGGUGGGUCCCGGUGAGUCCCAGGUGCCCAGGUGGGUCCUGGUGAGUCCCAGGUGCCCAGGGAGGUGCCCAGGUGGGUCCCAGGCGCCCAGGGAGGUGCCCAGGUGGAUCCCGGGCGCCCAGGAAGGUGCCCAGGUGGGUUGCAAGUGCCCAGGUGGGUCGCAGGUGCGCGGGCACACCUGAUGGGCAUGAAGUUGAAGACGUUGGGCAUGCCGGGGCAGUAGCAGAGGAAGCAGCCGAUGGACACCUGGAACACGAUGGCCACCACCAGGAUCCGGUUCCUGCCGGGCACACGGACGGACGACCACCUGUGGCACCUGUGCCACCUGGGGCACCUGUGCUACGUGUAACAUCCACACAGCCUGUGCCACCUGUGCCACCUGUGCCACCUGUACCACCUGUGCUACGUGUAACAUCCGUACAGCCUGUGCCACCUGUGCCACCUGUACCACCUGUACCACCUGUGCUACGUGUAACAUCCGUACAGCCUGUGCCACCUGUGCCACCUGUGCUACGUGUAACAUCCACACAGCCUGUGCCACCUGUGCCACCUGUGCCACCUGUGCUACGUGUAACAUCCGUACAGCCUGUGGCACCUGUGCCACCUGUA